CCUACGGGCGGCAGCAGUGGGGAAUAUUGCACAAUGGGCGCAAGCCUGAUGCAGCCAUGCCGCGUGUGUGAAGAAGGCCUUCGGGUUGUAAAGCACUCUCAGCGGGGAGUAAGGCGGUGAGGUUAAUAACCUCAUCGAUUGACGUUACCCGCAGAAGAAGCACCGGCUAACUCCGUGCCAGCAGCCGCGGUAAUACGGAGGGUGCAAGCGUUAAUCGGAAUUACUGGGCGUAAAGCGCACGCAGGCGGUCUGUCAAGUCGGAUGUGAAAUCCCCGGGCUCAACCUGGGAACUGCAUUCGAAACUGGCAGGCUAGAGUCUUGUAGAGGGGGGUAGGAUUCCAGGUGUAGCGGUGAAAUGCGUAGAGAUCUGGAGGAAUACCGGUGGCGAAGGCGGCCCCCUGGACAAAGACUGACGCUCAGGUGCGAAAGCGUGGGGAGCAAACAGGAUUAGAUACCCGUGUAGUC
rnacentral:rRNA from 1 species